CUUUAGCAAAUGAAAAGAUGCACAGUACUUGCGAUUUCAAAUAGAAUGGUGUCUGUUAAAGCUUUACCUAGGAGGAAUUCCCCAAAUCAAGGGACAUGGAAUUACUCAGCCACAGGAAUUCUGGAGAAUCCGGUCUCUGAAGAUGAACCUUCGUGCUGUAGCUACAUCAGUGCCAAGAGACCCCACUUCCCACGUCUUCUGGACUUGGCUCAGAAGCAUCUGCAGAGAGACAAGGAAGCCCCACAAAAUGUGGACAAAUGCCAUUCCAGCCCAUGAAAUAGCUGAGAAAGAGGGGCUCGGCACAGCAUUUUCUAAGCUACGUUGUGUGAAAGGUUGCUGGACCCUAAGGGGCUCCCAGGUAUUUAUUUCAUGCGGUAAAAAGUGUUCUGAUGUCAGAGUCUGAGAAAGCCUGUAGGCACUAUCUGUGCAUUCCCCACUCCCCCAACUUUUGUGGAAAGAAAUCUUGUUACAAGUCCUAUAAGUUCUACAGUCCAAACAAACAAAUGAAAAAGCCCACUUAAAUUUGUCUGAUCCAGCACUUCCAAAACUUAUCUGACCAUGACGACCAUGACAUUUUGUCUUUUCCUUUCCACAAAGCACCUAUGUUCUAGGCACUUGUGUCUUGUGGAGCAUACCUUGAGAAAUACUGAGUAUGCAUAAAAGAGCAAAGUUCUAGGGGUGAAGAAACUUCUGCAUUCCUGUAGAUCGGUUCUGAUCCUAACGUCUGCUAUGAUUCUUUUUUUAAGAUGGUAUUUCGCUCUUGUUGCCCAGGCUAGAGUGCAGUAGUGCAAUCUCGGCUCACUGCAACGUCCGCUUCCCAGGCUCAAGCGAUUCUCCUGCCUCAGCCUCCUGAGUAGCUGGCAUUAUAAGAACCCACCACCACACCUGGCUAAUUUUUGUAUUUUUAGUAGAGAUGGGGUUUCACCAUGUUGGCCAGGCUGGUCUCGAACUCCUGACCUCAGGUGAUCCGCCCCCCUCAGCCUCCCAAAGUGCUUGGAUUACAGGCGUGAGCCACUGCGCCAGGCCUGCAGCUAUGAUUUUUGACAUCACGUAGCCUCUCUGAACCUCAGUUUCCUCUUCUGUAAAAUGAUGACUCCUCCAUUCCUACACAUCUGCAUGGCUCCUGGCUGAAAGGGGAAGGAUGGAUGUCCGAAUAUACCUAAAAUUUGU
rnacentral:lncRNA from 10 species